UGAGGAACAUGACUUUCGGCGGGGGAUAGCCGGCCCAACGGCCGGGUAAUACCGCGUACGACCUUUCGGGGACAUCCCUGGAUGGUGAAAGCAGCAAUGCGCCGAUGGAGUGCCUCGCGGCCUAUCAGCUAGUUGGUGAGGUAAUGGCUCACCAAGGCGACGACGGGUAGCUGGUCUGAGAGGAUGGCCAGCCACAUUGGGACUGAGACACGGCCCAGACUCCUAGGAGG
rnacentral:rRNA from 1 species